UGGGCACACUCAUCAUUUGUCACAAAAGA
rnacentral:piRNA from 1 species